GCAGGCCUAACACAUGCAAGUCGAGCGGUAGCACAGAGAGCUUGCUCUCGGGUGACGAGCGGCGGACGGGUGAGUAAUGUCUGGGAAACUGCCUGAUGGAGGGGGAUAACUACUGGAAACGGUAGCUAAUACCGCAUAAUGUCGCAAGACCAAAGUGGGGGACCUUCGGGCCUCAUGCCAUCAGAUGUGCCCAGAUGGGAUUAGCUAGUAGGUGGGGUAACGGCUCACCUAGGCGACGAUCCCUAGCUGGUCUGAGAGGAUGACCAGCCACACUGGAACUGAGACACGGUCCAGACUCCUACGGGAGGCAGCAGUGGGGAAUAUUGCACAAUGGGCGCAAGCCUGAUGCAGCCAUGCCGCGUGUGUGAAGAAGGCCUUCGGGUUGUAAAGCACUUUCAGCGGGGAGGAAGGCGAUAAGGUUAAUAACCUCAUCGAUUGACGUUACCCGCAGAAGAAGCACCGGCUAACUCCGUGCCAGCAGCCGCGGUAAUACGGAGGGUGCAAGCGUUAAUCGGAAUUACUGGGCGUAUAGCGCACGCAGGCGGUCUGUCAAGUCAGAUGUGAAAUCCCCGGGCUCAACCCGGGAACUGCAUUCGAAACUGGCAGGCUAGAGUCUUGUAGAGGGGGGUAGAAUUCCAGGUGUAGCGGUGAAAUGCGUAGAGAUCUGGAGGAAUACCGGUGGCGAAGGCGGCCCCCUGGACAAAGACUGACGCUCAGGUGCGAAAGCGUGGGGAGCAAACAGGAUUAGAUACCCUGGUAGUCCACGCCGUAAACGAUGUCGAUUUGGAGGUUGUGCAGCUUUGAGGCGUGGCUUCCGGAGCUAACGCGUUAAAUCGACCGCCUGGGGAGUACGGCCGCAAGGUUAAAACUCAAAUGAAUUGACGGGGGCCCGCACAAGCGGUGGAGCAUGUGGUUUAAUUCGAUGCAACGCGAAGAACCUUACCUGGUCUUGACAUCCACAGAACUUAGCAGAGAUGCUUUGGUGCCUUCGAGAACUGUGAGACAGGUGCUGCAUGGCUGUCGUCAGCUCGUGUUGUGAAAUGUUGGGUUAAGUCCCGCAACGAGCGCAACCCUUAUCCUUUGUUGCCAGCGGUCAGGCCGGGAACUCAAAGGAGACUGCC
rnacentral:rRNA from 1 species